AGUGAACGCUAGCGGCGUGCCUAACACAUGCAAGUCGAACGAUGAUGGAGAGCUUGCUCUCCUGAUUAGUGGCGCACGGGUGAGUAUACCAUAGAUAAUGUACCUCUUAGUUCGGGAUAGCCACUGGAAACGGUGACUAAUACCGGAUACUCCUUCUUGUCUUAGGGCAAGUCGGGAAAGUUUUUUCGCUAAGAGAUCAGUCUAUGUCCUAUCAGCUAGUUGGUGAGGUAAUGGCUCACCAAGGCAAUGACGGGUAUCUGGUUUGAGAGGAUGAUCAGACACACUGGAACUGAGACACGGUCCAGACUCCUACGGGAGGCAGCAGUGAGGAAUAUUGCACAAUGGAGGAAACUCUGAUGCAGCAACGCCGCGUGGAGGAUGACGCAUUUCGGUGUGUAAACUCCUUUUAAGAGGGAAGAUAAUGACGGUACCUCUUGAAUAAGCACCGGCUAACUCCGUGCCAGCCGCCGCCGUAA
rnacentral:rRNA from 1 species